CUGUCAGACCUUCAGGGUGUGAGAAGGCAGCUGGUUCCUUCCCCAUGCUGGACUACAGGGAGCUGGAAAGGGGAGACAGGACCUUCAGGCAUAUUUGUAAACUCAAAAGAUUCACUGAGGACAUGAUGAGGAGGUGCAGGCUGAAUUUCAGGCUGGAUUGGGUUGGAGCAUACAAAAUAGAAGUUUGUGAAACAUGGAGUGAAAUCUGAGAAAAUGAUGAAAGGGCUGCUGAGAAAUUGGAAUCAGAAUAGUAUUUUCUGGUGCUGGUGGUGGUAAGAAAAUGCCUGUGGGGAAAAUCUUCCAACCAUUAUAGUUGCACAACACUUUUGUCCUCACCUGAAUGUAAGAGGUGCCCAAAUCUACAGACAACUUGAGAAAGAAGUCGUCAGUGCUCUGAUCUACCAUAGCUGUCUGCUAUCUGACUUGAAGAGUCGGAGCUGAUGAGAUGAAGAUAGAUGUUGAACACUGCUUCAGCCCCACGGCAAAAUGCUUUCAAAUAGGAUAUUCUGGAUAAACCAGUUCUUGAUUUGCGCUUUCUAGAGCUACAGAAACGUAUACACAUGAAGAUUCUUGCAUUGCUUCUGGAGGACAACAGAUCUCAGGAUAAUUUCAGUGGAAGGCUUUGGUAAUAAAUAGGCUUUGUUCUAAGCCAGCAGAAGUGUAAAGAAAUGUCUAGGAAGUUCAAGCUUGACUUGGGUAAGAAACAGGUUUCAUGGUACAUCUCCAAAGAUAGCUGGGCACAAGCCUGGUCCUUGCUAGACGCCCUAGGAGGGGGGCCAAGAACCAAAUGUGUGCUCCCACUCAGUUUUUGGCAUCAGCAAAGUCUGCGCAGAGACCGUGGAAGUUCCUGCAGUAACUGCCCAUUAUUGCUCUUGUUUGAAGGACAAACAGGUUCAGGUGCUGAGCUAAGCCACCUCACAUGGACUUUGGGCCUGACUUCUUACCGCAGUCAAUCUCUGGGACCUUCAGAUCUCUGUAAAGCUUUGGGAGCUUUUGUUCCACUUAAAACAGGGACACCAGUAUAUCCAGUCUCACUAACAGAUUUCUCUGCAUUCCUUAUUUACAUUCAUGUGUUUACAAUUAAGGGGAAAAAAGGUGAACUGGGGAGGAUGCGAUAAAGACCUCACUGCGAUUUCAAAGUCUCAUUGGUUGCUUGCUUGUUCUUUUCUUGGCAAGGUCUGUGAAAUUUUGGAUAAUCUCUGAAAAAUGUAUGUCAGCUACAUUAAAAAGAUCUUGCUUGUGGGAUUCAAGUAAUUAGUAUGUAAGUAAUCAGUAAUUAAGAAUUAAAUAAUGGGAGAUUUCAGGAAUUCCUUUGGGAGGUUGAGUGACUUCCUCUGUGCAUUUUUGCUUGCUGCUCUCCUGUUUUACAGCAUGUGGGACAAGUAUUACUUGUGCUUUUGUUCAGUGAGGGACAAAGAGGCUGUUCUAGACAUGCCAAAGUUGUUCCCUAUUAGCACUGGCCAGUGAAUGUAUGCCUCAUUUCAUAUCAUGGUGUUCCCUUUGUGACACCCAGUCCUUUUAAGACGGCACUACACUUGCCUUUAGGGAACAUGCGUCCAUCCCUUCCCCACCCUUUGCCUAACAUUACAACAGGACAAUCUCUUUCAAAGUGAAAAAGAGCUGGCUUCCUUAACCUUAGGUGUCAGGGAGACAGAAAUGGAGCAGCAGCUGAAAUUUUAACUCUGUCUGCUGUCCCUCUUGGCUAUGGGCUGUUAGGGAGCUGCUGUGCUGGCCCAUAAGAGUAUGGCCAGAUCACUCUCUUGUCCUGAAAAGGCACAGGACGCUGGGCAUAUAACCUUCCAGACCUCAGCAAUGCAUGCUGCUUCUGUUGAACUAAAAGGGAAAGAUGUACUACUAGUCUUUUCUUUAAUUGCUGUGCUGUGGAAAUAGGGGGGUAACUGUUAGGGAUUUCAUCGGAGGGCCAGUGGCUGAAAAAAUAAGUCAGAGGAAGGUAGUAUUCUUUCUCACUAGACUCCCCAUGAGUUAUGUUCUCAAGGGGAAUGCAUAUUACAUAUACAUACAUUACAGUUUGCAUCCAAAAAAAUGACACCAGGGACUUGAGAUUUCAAAGACUUUGGACAUUUAUCUGUUGUAAAUGUAAUUGUAUCUAGAAGUAAAUAAGACUUUGCAAUUUAUAGGCACUUUAAUCUUGUGCUAUUUAUGGACGUAGAAUUGCUUAGAAUAAUGCUGCCUUAUUUUAUACUGAUGGGAUUGUAUUUUUACCGCUAUAGUAAGGGUUAUUUCAGCUAUGAACCCUUGUCAGAGUCUGCUUGUUUCCAGAGGGUUGUAAACUGGCUCACGUUGCCUCUGAAGCUACGUGAACUCUUGGGUUUAGAGGAACGUAGUUAAAAAUUUAAGAUACAUCAGCGUACCAAAUAUUUAUGCUUAUAGAUAAAAAUAAAGGACUCUUCCCUAAUGCAGAUGGUAUGCUUGUAUGAACGUUCUGCAGGGAGUUAAAAUUAACAGCAGUUUAUCUCAUCAGUGUCCAACCUUUUUGGCUUGCUUGGGAUGCACUGAGUGAAAAUGAAUUUUCUUGGGCCAUGCAAACAUAGGUUGCACCAAAAGUAAUGCCUCCUAUUCAUUUCUGUGGAAACUACAAGAGAUAGAAAGAACAUAGAUAACAAAAUAGAUAACAAAACUCAGUUACAAAACACUAUUUUUCAGUAGAGUUACCACCAUUAUCUGUGCAUUUUUACCAGUGAUGAAUAAGAGCCUGCAUGCUCCACUCAUAAAAAUCUGCACUACCAGAGGUGAGCCACGGUCUCUGUUGCCGUUGCUGAAACUCACCAGCCACUGCCUCACUGUGCUACAUUCACUGUUUGCUCUCCAUCAACA